GUAGAUAAAAACCAUGAAGAUGGGGAGAAACCAGUGCAAAAAGUCUGAAAAUUCUAAAAACCAGAACACCUCUUCUCCUCCAAAGGAUCACAACUCCUUGCCAGCAAGGGAAAAAAUCUGGAUGAAGAAUGAGCUUGAUGAAUUGACACAAGUAGGCUUCAGAAGGUGGGCAAUAACAAACUCCACUGAGGUAAAGAAGCAUGUUCUAAGUCAAUGCAAAGAAGGUAAAAA